GACGAACGCUGGCGGCGUGCUUAACACAUGCAAGUCGAACGGUAAGGCUCCAGCUUGCUGGGGUACACGAGUGGCGAACGGGUGAGUAACACGUGGGUGACCUGCCCUGCACUUCGGGAUAAGUCUGGGAAACUGGGUCUAAUACCGGAUAGGACCAUGGUGUGGAUACUGUGGUGGAAAGUUUUUUCGGUGUGGGAUGGGCCCGCGGCCUAUCAGCUUGUUGGUGGGGUAAUGGCCUACCAAGGCGGCGACGGGUAGCCGGCCUGAGAGGGUGGACGGCCACAUUGGGACUGAGACACGGCCCAGACUCCUACGGGAGGCAGCAGUGGGGAAUAUUGCACAAUGGGCGGAAGCCUGAUGCAGCGACGCCGCGUGGGGGAUGACGGCCUUCGGGUUGUAAACUCCUUUCACCAUCGACGAAGGGUUUCUGACGGUAGAUGGAGAAGAAGCACCGGCUAACUACGUG
rnacentral:rRNA from 1 species